GACAGAGGUGCCGAGCGUUAGGCGGAAUCACUGGGCUUAAAGCGUGUGUAGGCGGAUCCGUAAGUACCUUGUGAAAUCCCACGGCUCAACCGUGGAACUGCUUGGUAUACUGCGGGUCUUGAGCCACCUAGGGGCGAGCGGAACAAGCGGUGGAGCGGUGAAAUGCGUAGAUAUCGUUUGGAACGCCAAUGGUGAAAACAGCUAGCUGGGAGUGUGCCGACGCUGAGACACGAAAGCCAGGGGAGCGAACGGG
rnacentral:rRNA from 1 species